rnacentral:rRNA from 1 species
AGAAUCAACGCUGGCGGCGUGCCUAACACAUGCAAGUCGAACGAGAAAGUGGAGCAAUCCACGAGUAAAGUGGCGCACGGGUGAGUAACACGUGACUAACCUACCCUGGAGUGGGGGAUAACUGAGGGAAACCUUAGCUAAUACCGCAUAAUACCCACGGGUCAAAGGAGCAAUUCGCUUCAGGAGGGGUCGCGGCCGAUUAGUUAGUUGGCGGGGUAAUGGCCCACCAAGACGAUGAUCGGUA